rnacentral:rRNA from 1 species
CUAUUCUAAGCGGUGGAUCACUAGGCUCGCAGGUCGAUGAAGAACGCAGCUAGCUGCGAGAAUUAAUGUGAAUUGCAGACACAUUGAACAUCGACAUUUCGAACGCAUAUUGCGGAAGUGGGUUUCUCCCGCUUCCAGGUUCUCUUGACGGCGUCACU